UAGGACCUAACACAUGCAAGUCGAGGGCAGCACAUAGAGUAGCAAUACGAGUGGUGGCGACCGGCGCACGGGUGAGUAACACGUAUGCAACCUACCUUUAACAGGGGAAUAACCCGUUGAAAAACGGACUAAUACUCCAUAACACAGGGGUCCCGCAUGGGAAUAUUUGUUAAAGAUUAAUCGGUUGAAGAUGGGCAUGCGUUCCAUUAGCUUGUUGGUGAGGUAACGGCUCACCAAGGCCACGAUGGAUAGGGGAACUGAGAGGUUUAUCCCCCACACUGGAACUGAGACACGGUCCAGACUCCUACGGGAGGCAGCAGUGAGGAAUAUUGGUCAAUGGAGGCAACUCUGAACCAGCCAAGUCGCGUGAAAGGAUGAAGGUCUUAUGGAUUGUAAACUUCUUUUGCAAGGGAAUAAAGUGGGGGACGUGUCCUCCUUUGCAUGUACCUUGCGAAUAAGGAUCGGCUAACUCCGUGCCAGCCGCAGC
rnacentral:rRNA from 1 species